CGCUGCGCUGCGGGAGAGAGCCGUUCACGGCCGCCGAAGGAGCAAUACCUCUCCAUCAAACUCUCAGGCACCCGGACCGUGGCAGCUGU
rnacentral:ncRNA from 2 species